ensembl:snoRNA LOC120095780 small nucleolar RNA SNORA84
GCCCUGUGGUUGCUGGAGGCUGUUGUGUGAGUACAGCUUUCUAGUGGAUAACAAUGGGCAAGAGAAAUCCUUUGAUUUAUGCAUGGGAGCUGUUUCUUCUCAGAAGCUGCCAUAGCCCGGUCAUUGGCACAUUA